CGGACGGGUGAGUAAUGUCUGGGAAACUAGCCUGAUGGAGGGGGAUAACUACUGAACGGUAGCUAUACCGCAUAACGUCGCAAGACCAAAGAGGGGACCUUAGGGCCUCUUGCCAUCGGAUGUGCCCAGAUGGGAUUAGCUAGUAGGUGGGGUAACGGCUCACCUAGGCGACGAUCCCUAGCUGGUCUGAGAGGAUGACCAGCCACACUGGAACUGAGACACGGUCCAG
rnacentral:rRNA from 1 species